rnacentral:lncRNA from 1 species
UGGGGGUUAGGGAAGGGGUUUAUAGGGGGGUUGUGGGGCAUUUGGGGGGCACGAGGGAUGUGGGUCAGUGGGUCACAGGGACUUAGGGGUACGUGGGGGGGUUAUGGGGACUAUAUGAAGGGGAUGUGGGGCAAUGCGUCAGUGGGACUCGGGGCUGUUUUGGGGACACUUAGGGGGCUUGGUAGGGGUGUGGGUUGUGGGGACCUGGGGCCAUUUGGGGGACGUUGAAUGGGGUUUAUGGGGGGUGCGGGUCAGCAGAGACCCACAGAGAGGGAUCCCUGGGGAGCUGUGGGGCUGAGAGUGCGUUCUGCAGGGGGUUCCCCAGGGGAUGUGGGGGGAUCUGUGGGGCUGUCUAGGGGUUCCCUGGGGAUCUAUGGGGUUGUGUAUGGGUUCUUUGUGGAUCUAUGGGGCUGUGUAGGGGUUCCUGUGGAUCUAUGGGGCAGCUGUGGGGCUGUGUAGGGAUUCCCUAGUGGGUUCCCUGAGGAUCUGUGGGGCAGCUGUGGGGCUGUGCAGGGGUUCCCUGAGGAUCUAUGGGGCAGCUACGGGGCUGUGUGUGGGUUCCCUGAGGAUCUAUGGGGCAGCUGUGGGGUUGUGUAGGGGUUCCUGGGGAUCUAUGGGGCUGUGUAGGGUUUUCGUAGUGGGUUCCCUGAGGAUCUCUGGGGCGGCUAUGGGGCUGUGUAGGGGUUUUGUAGUGGGUUCCCUGAAGAUCUGUGGGGCAGCUAUGGGGCUGUGUUAAGGGUUCCCUGUGGAUCUAUGGGGCAGCUAUGGGGCUUUGUAGGGGUUUCGU